rnacentral:lncRNA from 1 species
GAUUAAGUGCAAUCAAUUUGUGAUGGAACACACCAUCUCCUUUCAUCUCUACAUCUUAUCUUGAGAUUUUUCAAGUUAGUCUUUGUAAUUUUUUAUGUUCUGCUUGAAUUAGAUUCAUUCUCUCCCAUCGACAACCAAAAAUUGAACAUUUAAUGAAUUUAUUGACUGGUCAAAUUUCUCUAUUCUUUUUGUCAAAGUAAUUCCCCCUCUUUGUUUAUCCCUAACAGCUUGGCCAAUGGAAUGUAGUAAUUUCAGGAUUGGAUUUGAAUUUUGAUUUAUAAUUAAGGAUUUCCAAAUAUUAGGUUGUAAAUAAAUAAGGCAGACUCAUUUUUGUAAUACAUGAAUCCAUAACUUAUAGUUCCUAUCAAUCAGAUUUGUGGAGUAGAGAAGUUCUGUAUUAGAAGUUCAGAUUUAGGAUUGGGAUUCAUUGCCAUUUUUUAAUCCAUAAUGCCAUCCAAAAGAAUGUAGGGAGUUUUUACCCACUCAAAUUCAAAUCUUAUGCGUACAUACCAUCCAAAUUCCAACAUGUAAAAUAAACUUUCCUUCAGUUUUCUAAUUGAGAUAAGCAUACUUAUAAUAACAUAAGAACCCCAGUACCUCAAAUCUUAGUUUAGCUUCUUUACCUUGUCACUUGUGGUUGUGGAUGCUUGUAAAAACUUCAAGUUAACAUGGCACAGUAAGCUUUCCUUGUUUUAUUUCUAUGAGGUUAGAUAUAUAGUUAAUAAUUUAGAUUUCUAUCAGUAUAAAAAACCCAAACCAUAAAAAAAAAAGUACAUACCAAUAUGUGUAUGAAUACAAUUACUCAUACAUCUAUUACACAAAAAUAAAUGUAAUAUGUAAUUGUUAAAAAAAUAUUGUUUUUAAGGCUUAACAAUACCAAAUUCAAGAAAUCAACAAACAAGAGCUAACCAAAACCAUCCAAAAUCAUUCCAAACUAAUCAUAACACACAAAUCAAUCGACAAACAUGAGCUUCGGUGGAAUUUUCAACACAGUAGGAAGAACUGAACGAAGAAUACACAACAAGAACAUCAAAGGAACAUACUCUAGGUAUUUUGGGUUCGACUUCUUAAAAGAUCGAACAAAAAAAAUUAAAAGAAAUUGCAGAUUCAACAAUAAAACUCCAAAAAUUGGAAACAACGUACAAAAGACAAAGAAAUUGAAGUAGGGAAGAUAAUACUUAUUGGUAUAUGUCUCAAUUGCCUUAGAUUCUUUUGAUUCUCUUUGUAUGAUCGCGAGAGAGGGCAAUUAAGGUUAAGAAGUAGAGAAUAUGAGUGACAACUCAUGCCUUUUUUUGUAUACUUUUUUAUCCUCAAGUAGCAUUUUUUUCAACCAAAUUUUCAGCCAAAUCGGUUCAUGAACAGUG